UACGUAGGGCGCAAGCGUUGUCCGGAAUUAUUGGGCGUAAAGAGCUCGUAGGCGGCUUGUUGCGUCGGCUGUGAAAACCCCGCGGCUUAACCGUGGGCUUGCAGCCGAUACGGGCAGGCUAGAGUUCGGUAGGGGAGACUGGAAUUCCUGGUGUAGCGGUGAAAUGCGUAGAUAUCUGGAGGAACACCGGUGGCGAAGGCGGCAUCCUGGACCGGUAUUGACGCUGAGGCGCGAAAGCCAGGGAGCAAAGCGGG
rnacentral:rRNA from 1 species